UUUUCUAAUGUAAUGGGUACUGUCUGCCAUGUUUUUAGAUGUCAUCGCUGCUCACACUGUGUACUAGCGCGCAUGUGAUGUUGGUCCUUUAUAAAUGUUACUAUCUUUGCCUGUGAGCGAUGGAAAAUAAUCCAUCUCAGCGACAAUUGUUUGAAUAAUUCAACGGAUGUUUUGUACACAAAGGUGAUGACUAAAGUAUCUUAUUAGGAAUUUUCAAAUCUGACUUCUCUAUGUGGCCGUCUAUGGAAAUUGUCUUUCUGGGCCGGGCUUCAGUUAAACUGCACUACCAAAUCAAAACUGUAGCAGUCGAAACCAUUUUUCGAAACCGGAACAUUGGCCAACUGAGGUAUAAAGAACUGGAGAUGGACGACCAUUGUUUUCAACGCACUGUAAUCUACUCACGUUCGCAAACGCUGUCGUGGCUGCUGCCAUUUUGGGACUACUCCACCGGAGCAGCGUGAGAAUGAGCACGAGCAGCAAUGUCGUCACAAGCAUAAACUCAGGAAGGUUUUGGGCAUUCUGCCAGAGUAGCUUGGAACGUCGAUCAGCAUGGCUGCGACAAGUUGGGUGGAGGGGAAAUCUGCAGGCACCACAGUUCCCACAACCACUCUAAACAUGAAAGGCAAUUUUGUGUAUAUGCCCUUCCCAUUGAACUACAAGCACAGUCAGAGAACUGUGUUAAAGCACAAAAACUAAGACAAAGAAAUGGUGGUGUCAGGAAGCCUGCAGCCUGGGGUUGGCAGAAACCAACGACACGUAAAGAAACCAGGCAGAAGAUCAAGAUGCAGAGGUUGGAGGCGAUCAACUGGCAGUGGGGCUUUGGUGGAGAAGGAGAUGUCAGAGAGGAAGGAGAGCAGGUCCUACACCAGCCCCUCUCGGCUAGAUAAGUUCUCUGCUAAACACCUCAAACAAAAUGAGAAAUCUACUACAAAGCCAGUUCUAUUCUCUCAUCCCAAGCACACACCCAAAAGAUCCUGUGCAGAAGAGAAAAACCUUUCACAGAGUACCCCCCCCAAAAAAACAAGGCAUCUCCCGGCCAGGGUAGAUGUCAGACUGGAGAGGGUUCCACUCCCAGCCCUUCCUACCAUGUUGACAGCCCCAUACAGAAGGACCACCACCAGCACCAGGAGAUCCAGAGGAGGAGAGCACCAGCAGCCCUUGUUUCCCGGCCUCCCUGGGGGAGACAUCUCCAGGGAGAGUCUCACAGAGCAGCCCAGCUGUUGUGAAAAGAUACCGCAAGGGAUAGACACCCCUGCACCUGGCUGCUAUAAAAGGAGAUGUGGAGACCGUGAAGGAGCUCCUAGGCCAGGGGGCUGACCCCAACCUGAAAGACGACGCUGGAUGGACCCCACUGUUUGGCAUGGAAUAUACAGAAGGACACCAAAUUCACAACAAGCAACAAUGUGUUUGUAGGCGUAAUUAAAAAGUUGAGGAAAGAAGGGCGCAACAAAACUGCCCAUCAAGCAGCCAUAACUGAAGUUUGAACACGACAUGCAGCUCAUCAAACAAUCCAAGGCUCUGGACACUGAAACAUCUGAGGGUUUGGUGAACAAAGUGUGGUUUGAUGUUAAUUUUGGGCGAAGGGGAAGGAGGGAGAACGUUUUUCUUAAAAUUGACUGAUAUAAAAUAUGUACAGACACAGUUUUUACAUGAAUGUAAUGUACGUUUGCUAUCUAGCCUGUGGUUAUGUUUCACAGCAACCAGUCUAGCAACAACUUUUGUCCGGACUACUUUUUCUGGCGGAAUGCAUUUAUGAAUUUAUUUAUUAAAGCUAAAUGUUCAGUUUAGAUGUGUCGUUCCUUGCCUUGCUGUGUUGGCAACCGGUUUAUAAAAGCAAUAAGACACCUCGGGGGGUUAGUGGUAUAUGGCCUAUAUACCACAGUCAAGGGCUGUAUCCAGGUACUCGUGCAAAAUAAAACAACCCAUAGCCGCGGUAUAUAGGUCCUAUACAACACCCCCUCAGGCCUUAUUGCUUAAAUGUCCAGUACCGGUCAAAAGUUUGGACACACCAACUCAUUCAAGGGUUUUUCCUUUAUUUUUUGCUAUUUUCUACAUUGUCAAAUAAUAGUGAAGACAUCAAAUCUAUAUGGAAUCAUGUAAUAACAAAAAGUGCUAAACAAAUCAAAAUAUUUUAGAUUCUUCAAAGUAGCCACCCUUUGCCUUGACAGCUUUGCACACUCUUGGCAUUCUCUCAACCAGCUUCACCUGGAAUGAUUUUCCAACAGUCUUGAAGGAGUUCCCACAUGCUGAGAACUUGUUGGCUGCUUUUCCUUCACUCUGCGGUUCAACUCAUCCCAAACCAUCUCAAUUGGAUUGAAGUCGGGUGAUUGUGGAGUCCAGGUCAUCUCAUGCAGCACUCCAUCAUUGUCCUGUUGGAAAAACAAAUUACUUGUCCCACUAAGCACAACCCAAAUGGGAUGGCAUACUGCUGCAGAAUGCUGUGGUAGCCAUACUGGUUAAGUGUGCCUUGAAUUCUAAAUAAAUCAGACCGUGUCACCAGCAUAGCACCCCCUCACAUCACCUCCUCCAUGCUUCACGGUGGGAACCACACAUGCGGAGAUCAUCUGUUCACAUACACUGCGUCUCACAAAGGCACGUGAUUGCCACCAGUCUAAUAUCCAUUGCUUGUGUUUCUUGUCCCAAGUUGUUGAGAUGUGUCUCUUGAACUCUGUGAAGCAUUUAUUUGUGCUGCAAUUUCUGAGACUGCUAACUCUAACAUGCUGACCAGACCGGACACGUCGCGUGCGUUGCAAAAUGCAUUUAGAAAUCCAUGUUAUUCAAUUAUUGCACCCACACUGCUCGCGCGCGCCAACUAGCCUCUGCCACGCCAAGGGCUAAAAUAGAACUCAUUCCUAUUUCUGAAGCAGAUCGCGCUGAAAGUCCUUCCUCUCCCAUCUCCUCAUUGGUUUAUAGAAGCAGGUACCCACAUGCCAUCUCCUCAUUGGUUAUACCCACGUGAUUGAAAGACUAACUGUUUUGCCGGUAGUCGUGGUAAUACAAUGAAAGUUUAGAUGCGAUCACCAUAUAACUUAAACAAUGAAAAUGCCUGGAAGGAGGAGAGAUGACUAGAAAUGAUUCGGUUGGCUGUUUUUAUAUGUGAAUUAAUUGCUGGAGUAAAGGUCCUUGUGCAUUUCAGGUAAAAUAACAACUCAAUGUUUAUAUCCCAGGACAAAUUAGCUAGCAACAGCAAGCUGGCUAAAUGACAAAUUAACGUUAGCUAGCAAGUGCAAGGUAACUAGCUAAAUUGCCAUACAUGUUUAAUGCUUUUCAAACUGUCCCCAAAUUAAUGUCAUUGGUUCAGAGUUUGUUUUGAUAUUUUAACCUGCGUGUCCUGAUCGCGUUUGGUGUGGGGGGGCAAAAUAAAUGUAUGCACGAUGGCGCACGCGCGGAGCCGGUUUGUGUUCCGUGUAAUGAACUUAUCCACUGCAGCAGAGGUAACUCUGGGUCUUCCUUUCCUGUGGCGGUCCUCAUGAGUGACAGUUUCACCAUAGCACUUGAUGGUUUUUCUGACUGCACUUGGAAAAACUUAAAGUUCUUGAAAUUUUCCGGAUUGACUAACCUGAAUGUCUUAAAGUAAUGAUGAACUGUUUCUCUUUACUUAUUUGAGCUGUUUUUGCCAUAAUAUGGACUUGAUCUUUUAAAAAAUAGGGCUGUCUUCUGUAUACCCCACAUACCUUGUCACAACACAACUGAUUGUCUCAAACUCAUUAAGAUGAAAGAAAUUCCUUACAAAUGAACUUUUAACAAGGCACACCUGUUAAUUGAAAUGCAUUCCAGGUGACUACCUCAUGAAGCUGGUUGAGAGAAUGCCAAGAGUGUGCAAAGCUGUCAUCAAGGCAAAAGCUGGCUACUUGAAGAAUCUCAAAUAUAAAAUAUAUUUUGAUUUGUUUAACACUUUUUUGGUUACUACAUGAUUCCAUAUGUGUUAUUUCAUGGUUUUGAUGUCUUCAAUAUUAUUCAACAAUGUAGAAAAUAGUACAAAUAAAGAAAAACCCUUGAAUGAGUAGGUGUCUCCAAGCUUUUGACUGGUACUGUAUAUGGUAUGUAAUAACACUCCUGUGUUUCAGCACAAAGCGUAUAACCUGGGCCACCAGUGUGUAGUGGAGGCAUUGGUUACUAGAGGGGUGCUGUUGAACACACCAGGCAAUGAGAACGACUCUCCUCUACUUGACGCUGUCAACACUGGGCUUCACAGAGCGUUUUGUGACUAUGGAUAGAAUAGAGAUGUUUAUUUCUACAUUCUUUUGCACAGAAAUUCUUUGUUUACCCUCACAGGCGUAGAGGUCCUAUGUAAUUUUGCAUUCAAGUCAUUUAACAGACGUUCUUAUCCAGAGCCCCUUAAAGGAGCAAUUAGGGUAAUGUGCCUUGCUCAAGGGCACAUCAACAUAUGUUUUACAUAGUCGGCUCGGGGAUUCAAACCAGCAACCUUUCGGUUACUGACCCAACGCUCUAACUGCUAGGCUACCUGCAACCCCAAGAAAAAAUACCUGUCUCUUUUCAUGCUGACUUAAUCUAAAAUCAUUCACCUGAAGUCAGCAUGAAAAGAGACUGAGGUAGUAAUAAUUUUUCUUGUAGCAUGAUGUGCACUAGAUGGAUAACUACAAUCACACAGUAGGUGACACUCAUUGGUUGUUGGAUGGUGAAGUGUUGUGACCUCAUAAUGUACAGACCAAUGGAGCGGGGCUGAUGCGUUCUGGUGUGUGUGUUGUGAGAGGACAGUCAUUAAUGGAGAGCUGGAGCAGCAAUUGCUUUCUUUUAGUCCUGUCUUUUUCUGUCUCCUCCCGUCCUGCUUCUCUUUUUCCAGUCUGUUCUCUCUCCUCCUUCCUUCCUGCUUCUCUUUUACCAGUCUGUCCUUCCUUCCUUCCUUCCUUCCUUCCUUCCUUCCUUGAUUUUACCAUUCCCCCCUCUACUCUCUCCUCCUUCUAUCCCUUCUACGAUAUAUUUUCCCCCUCUAUCUCCCCCCCAUAUUUCCUUUCUCUCUCCUUCCUUCUCUUUUCCCA
rnacentral:lncRNA from 13 species